rnacentral:rRNA from 1 species
CCAAUAGCGUAUAUUAAAGUUGCUGCAGUUAAAAAGCUCGUAGUUGAAUUUCGGGAUCAAUACGUUGGUCGUGCCUCGGUACGUACUAGCUUAUUGGUUUCUCCCUUCUGACGAACCAUGAUGUCAUUUAUUUGGUGUUAUGGGGAAUCAGGACUGUUACUUUGAAAAAAUUAGAGUGUUUAAAGCAGGCUCACGCUUGAAUACAUUAGCAUGGAAUAAUGAAAUAGGACGUUUGAUUCUAUUUUGUUGGUUUCUAGGAUCGACGUAAUGAUUAAUAGGGAUAGUUGGGGGCAUUAGUAUUCAAUUGUCAGAGGUGAAAUUCUUGGAUUUAUUGAAGACUAACUACUGCGAAAGCAUUUGCCAAGGAUGUUUUCAUUAAUCAAGAACGAAAGUUAGGGGAUCGAAGACGAUCAGAUACCGUCGUAGUCUUAACCAUAAACUAUGCCGACUAGGGAUCGGAUGAUGUUAAUUUUUUAAUGACUCAUUCGGCGCCUUACG